UACGGAGGAUCCGAGCGUUAUCCGGAUUUAUUGGGUUUAAAGGGUGCGUAGGCGGUUUUUUAAGUCAGGGGUGAAAUACGGCAGCUCAACUGCCGCAGUGCCUUUGAUACUGAGGAGCUUGAAUGAGGUCGAAGACGGCGGAAUGGGACAAGUAGCGGUGAAAUGCAUAGAUAUGUCCCAGAACCCCGAUAGCGAAGGCAGCUGUCUAGGCCUUUAUUGACGCUGAUGCACGAAAGCGUGGGUAUCGAACAGG
rnacentral:rRNA from 1 species